CGAACCCGGAAGCUAAGCCCUCCAGCGCCGAUGGUACUGCACUCGGGAGGGUGUGGGAGAGUAGGACACCGCCGGAC
rnacentral:rRNA from 1 species